CCUGGGGAGUACGGCCGCAAGGUUAAAACUCAAAUGAAUUGACGGGGGCCCGCACAAGCGGUGGAGCAUGUGGUUUAAUUCGAUGCAACGCGAAGAACCUUACCUACUCUUGACAUCCAGAGAACUUUCCAGAGAUGGAUUGGUGCCUUCGGGAACUCUGAGACAGGUGCUGCAUGGCUGUCGUCAGCUCGUGUUGUGAAAUGUUGGGUUAAGUCCCGCAACGAGCGCAACCCUUAUCCUUUGUUGCCAGCGGUUCGGCCGGGAACUCAAAGGAGACUGCCAGUGAUAAACUGGAGGAAGGUGGGGAUGACGUCAAGUCAUCAUGGCCCUUACGAGUAGGGCUACACACGUGCUACAAUGGCGCAUACAAAGAGAAGCGACCUCGCGAGAGCAAGCGGACCUCAUAAAGUGCGUCGUAGUCCGGAUUGGAGUCUGCAACUCGACUCCAUGAAGUCGGAAUCGCUAGUAAUCGUAGAUCAGAAUGCUACGGUGAAUACGUUCCCGGGCCUUGUACACACCGCCCGUCACACCAUGGGAGUGGGUUGCAAAAGAAGUAGGUAGCUUAACCUUCGGGAGGGCGCUUACCACUUUGUGAUUCAUGACUGGGGUGAAGUCGUAACAAGGUAACCGUAGGGGAACCUGCGGUUGGAUCACCUCCUUA
rnacentral:rRNA from 1 species